rnacentral:rRNA from 1 species
AAUGCAUCGAGAUCCAAAGCUCCGGCGCCUAAGGAUGGGUCUGCGGCCUAUCAGGUAGUAGUGGGUGUAGCGUACCUACUAGCCUACGACGGGUACGGGUUGUGAGAGCAAGAGCCCGGAGAUGGAUUCUGAGACACGAAUCCAGGCCCUACGGGGUGCAGCAGGCGCGAAAACUUUACAAUGCUGGAAACAGCGAUAAGGGGACCUCGAGUGCCAGGUUACAAAUCUGGCUGUCGUGAUGCCUAAAAAGCAUUGCAUAGCAAGGGCCGGGCAAGACCGGUGCCAGCCGCCGCGGUAACACCGGCGGCUCGAGUGGUAACCGUUAUUAUUGGGUCUAAAGGGUCUGUAGCCGGCCGGAUAAGUCUCUUGGGGAAUCCAGCAGCUCAACUGUUGGGCUUUCAGGAGAUACUGUCUGGCUCGAGGCCGGGAGAGGUGAGAGGUACUUCAGGGGUAGGGGUGAAAUCUUGUAAUCCUUGAAGGACCACCAGUGGCGAAGGCGUCUCACCAGAACGGACCUGACGGCAAGGGACGAAAGCUAGGGGCACGAACCGGAUUAGAUACCCGGGUAGUCCUAGCCGUAAACGAUACUCGCUAGGUGUCGGCCACGGUGCGACCGUUGUCGGUGCCGUAGGGAAGCCGUGAAGCGAGCCACCUGGGAAGUACGGCCGCAAGGCUGAAACUUAAAGGAAUUGGCGGGGGAGCAC